AAGGGUGAGUAAUAUGUAAGCAAUUUACCUAUGGGCUUGGAAUAACGUCGAGAAAUNANGCGCUAAUACCAAAUAAUGCCGCGGCACCACAUGGUGAUGUUGUUAAAGUUGCANCAAUGUAACUCCUAUAGAUAAGCUUGCAUCUGAUUAGCUAGUUGGUAGGGUAAUAGCCUACCAAGGCAACGAUCAGUAGCUGGUCUGAGAGGAUGAUCAGCCACACUGGAACUGAGACACGGUCCAGACUCCUACGGGAGGCAGCAGUGAGGAAUAUUGGGCAAUGGACGAAAGUCUGA
rnacentral:rRNA from 1 species